UUAAAGUUAGUUAAAAAAAAUCAAUGAAAACUUCUUCUGACAUUUUGAUAGCGAUUCCACGGCUAAGCGAAAAACAUUUGACGUUUGACAAAAAACACGAAAUUUUCAUGACGUUUGCUCUCUUAUAUCUUUUUGUAUAGGAAAGCAAGCAACCUGAGGUUUAUUGCAUCAAUUAGUGUUACUCAACCUCUUUUUAACCAUUAAUGAAAAGUACUAUGCUUUAUAUGGCUUCACUUAUAUAUUAUUCAUAUCUUGAGACCACUUUUAAGAAAAAAUCUUGAAGCGGGAACGUUUUUUUAAAACGAAACUUUUGGAGGUAUUUUGUCUGGAUUGCUCAACUACAAGCUUGAUUCUUACAGUUUCUACUACUGUUUUUAGUCUGUAGAUUCUCUAAACUGUUUUUUUCAAAACAAAAAGAAAUAGUAAUCAACUAAACUUUUAGUCUAAAGUUCACAAAAUGGAAAUGUGCUGUGAACUUAACAAUCUACGUGAGAUGGUGGUUCAAUCUAUAAGUCAAGAAUGUGUUGUCGACAGUUCACAAAUCUCCAAAAAUAAGUUUCUUAUUUUAUAUUUAUUUAGUUUUAAUUGUUAAUUUAUAAUUUUUUUUAAUUUUUAAUUUUUAAAAUGAAUUAACAAAUAUUUUUUUUAAAUUAUUGUGUAUCUGAUGUUAUUUGAUGUAUUAUUGUAUAUAUUUAGAUGUAUUGUUUUUAAUAAUAAUUUUAUUACAAUUUUAGGUAGAGUUCUGCUGUUACACCUGCUAUUACUGUUGUAAGUACUUAAAAUUUCAGGAAGUUCUGUUGCUAGAUGCGACCAGAUGUUUUGCAGUUGUCCUAUGAUUAGAUCAAAAGAAUACACCAAAAGAGAUAUUGGAUCAAUAAUGAAAUUUAUGACAGUGAAAUGCAUCUUUUGAAUAUCUUAUUUCUUUUUUUUUUUAAUAGUAUAAAUUGAUUUAUUAAAAAUGUAAAUUUUAUGUUGUUUGCGAUGUAAAUAUUUUUUAA